GAUGAACGCUGGCGGCGUGCCUAAUACAUGCAAGUCGAGCGAACGGACGAGAAGCUUGCUUUUCUGGUGUUAGCGGCGGACGGGUGAGUAACACGUGGAUAACCUACCUAUAAGACUGGGAUAACUUCGGGAAACCGGAGCUAAUACCGGAUAAUAUUUUGAACCGCAUGGUUCAAAAGUGAAAGACGGUCUUGCUGUCACUUAUAGAUGGAUCCGCGCUGCAUUAGCUAGUUGGUAAGGUAACGGCUUACCAAGGCAACGAUGCAUAGCCGACCUGAGAGGGUGAUCGGCCACACUGGAACUGAGACACGGUCCAGACUCCUACGGGAGGCAGCAGUAGGGAAUCUUCCGCAAAGGGCGAAAGCCUGACGGAGCAACGCCGCGUGAGUGAUGAAGGUCUUCGGAUCGUAAAACUCUGUUAUUAGGGAAGAACAUAUGUGUAAGUAACUGUGCACAUCUUGACGGUACCUAAUCAGAAAGCCACGGCUAACUACGUG
rnacentral:rRNA from 1 species